AUUGAACGCUGGCGGUGUGCUUAACACAUGCAAGUCGAACGGUAACAGGCCUUCGGGCGCUGACGAGUGGCGGACGGUGAGUAACGCGUAGGAAUCUGCCUCAUAGUGGGGGACAACGUGGGGAAACUCACGCUAAUACCGCAUACGCCCUACGGGGAAAGCGGGGAGUCUUCGGACCUCGCGCUAUGAGAUGAGCCUGCGUUAGAUUAGCUAGUUGGUAGGGUAAAGGCCUACCAAGGCGACGAUCUAUAGCUGGUCUGAGAGGACGAUCAGCCACACUGGGACUGAGACACGGCCCAGACUCCUACGGGAGGCAGCAGUGGGGAAUAUUGGACAAUGGGCGCAAGCCUGAUCCAGCAAUACCGCGUGUGUGAAGAAGGCCUUAGGGUUGUAAAGCACUUUCAAUUGGAGGAAAACCUGCCGGUCAAUACCCGGUAGCUUGACAUUACCUUUAGAAGAAGCACCGGCUAACUCCGUGCCAGCAGCCGC
rnacentral:rRNA from 1 species